UAGGGAAUUUUCGUCAAUGGGCGCAAGCCUGAACGAGCAAUGCCGCGUGAGUGAGGAAGGCCUUGGUCGUAAAGCUCUGUUGCGAGGGAAAAAGGAACGGAAGAGGAAAU
rnacentral:rRNA from 1 species